rnacentral:rRNA from 1 species
UACGUAGGGGGCAAGCGUUGUCCGGAAUCAUUGGGCGUAAAGCGCGUGUAGGCGGCUGGGUAAGUCCGCUCUGAAAGCCCGGGGCUCAACCCCGGGAGGCGGGUGGAUACUGCUCAGCUCGAGUCCGGAAGAGGAGUGUGGAAUUCCUGGUGUAGCGGUGAAAUGCGCAGAUAUCAGGAGGAACACCAGUGGCGAAGGCGGCGCUCUGGGCUGCACCUGACGCUGAGAUGCGAAAGUGUGGGGAGCAAACGGG